rnacentral:rRNA from 1 species
GACAGAGGCCUCAAGCGUUAGGCGGAAUCACUGGGCUUAAAGCGUGUGUAGGCGGAUCGUUAAGUGUCUUGUGAAAUCCCACGGCUCACCCGUGGAACUGCUGGGCAUACUGGCGAUCUUGGGCCAACUAGGGGCAACUGGAACAAGCGGUGGAGCGGUGAAAUGUGUAGAUAUCGCUUGGAACGCCGAAGGUGAAAACAGGUUGCUGGGGUUGUGCCGACGCUGAGACACGAAAGCCAGGGGAGCAAACGGG